CAGCCGCCGCGGUAAUACGUAGGUGGCGAGCGUUGUCCGGAAUUAUUGGGCGUAAAGGGCUCGCAGGCGGUUUCUUAAGUCUGAUGUGAAAGCCCCCGGCUCAACCGGGGAGGGUCAUUGGAAACUGGGAAACUUGAGUGCAGAAGAGGAGAGUGGAAUUCCACGUGUAGCGGUGAAAUGCGUAGAGAUGUGGAGGAACACCAGUGGCGAAGGCGACUCUCUGGUCUGUAACUGACGCUGAGGAGCGAAAGCGUGGGGAGCGAACAGGAUUAGAUACCCCCGUAGUCCCUGUCUCUUAUAC
rnacentral:rRNA from 1 species